CAUCUCUCUGACUAAACCAAUAUGGAAGCUUUCGAACGACAAGAGUGUCAGGCUGCGAUACUUUGUGAAAAGAAACAGCAUGUUAUUGCUGUAUUGUUGCGAUCAUCAUUAUGACUUGUGUUUUACUAUAGCAAGUUUGCAUGGGACAUGUUGUCAUUUUAGCUUGAUAAAUAAUGCGUCUGAGCGAAGGAAUUGUGUUUAUAUUCCCAGUAGCGAGGCUCUUCUUUCUAUUAAACUUGGAUGACGUUAAAUCUCCGUGUAUCAUCAACGUGAAACAAGCGCAAUAUUUAAGGUUGGUAUACUACAAUGCAUUACAGUUUCCUAGCUUGUUAUUUAGUCAAAUUAUUAUCCGCUUUGUUGUUUUUAACCUUGUACUGUAACCCUAUUGUGUGUGUCUGUGUACUGUGUCACUGUGAUACAUAUGUACAUGCUUUGAGUUAAACAAAUUGCAUAAUAAAUUUUUGCUGAAGUAUGAUACGUGUUUGUAUCUAGUUGUGGAUAGAUUUUUACAUAUAUGUGCAUACAAUAGUGAUAUUUUUCAAUUUUCAUCUGUAAAAUAUUGCCGUAUUUGUGUGUUGUUCUAUAAAUAUUACUGUAAAUAGUGACACUUUUACAUUAGAUUUCUAAUUUUAGAGAUUACAGCUUAUGUACAAAAUAAUAAAAUAAAAAUUUUCUUGUUUUGAUUUUGUAGAAAGAGAUCUACUUGAGUGGUUGUCUGGUCUUGAAUCUGGUCAGCAUGGAUAUGGUAAUGAAGGUGAUAGGGCAGAAAUUGGUGACCAGUUAAGUGAUGAGGAUGAAAGUGACGAGGACAAAAUCAC